rnacentral:rRNA from 1 species
UAAAGCUACUAAGGGCAUACGGUGAAUGCCUUGGUACAUGGAGGCGAUGAAGGACGUGAUAAGCUGCGAUAAGCCUCGGUGAGGUGCAAACAACCUUAGAUCCGAGGAUUUCCGAAUGGGGCAACCCAUCCCGGGCAAUACCGGGAUACACCCAUCUGAAUACAUAGGAUGGGAUGAGUUAACGGGGUGAAUUGACACAUCUUAGUAACCCCAGGAAAAGAAAACAAAAGUGAUUUCCUAAGUAGCGGCGAGCGAACGGGAAAGAGCCCAAACCAUGAUCGUGUUAAAGCCCGCAGGCGUUGCGGUCAUGGGGUAGUGAGAUAGUAUUAGAGUCGGUUGCGGACGACUCGGGGAGUCAAAAAAUCUGCGAUUAGCCGAACGGAAUGGAAAGUCCGACCAUAGAGGGUGAUAGUCCUGUAGGCGAAAAUCAAUGAUCUUCCUGAAUACUAUUCUCAAGUAACACGGUACACGAGAAAUUCCGUGUGAAACUGCCAGGACCAUCUGGUAAGGCUAAAUACUCCCAUGUGACCGAUAGUGAACUAGUACCGUGAGGGAAAGGUGAAAAGUACUCCUAACGGAGAGUGAAAUAGAACCUGAAACUGUAUGCCUACAAGCGGUCGGAGUCCCGAUUUAUCGGGAUGACGGCGUGCCUUUUGCAUAAUGAGCCAGCGAGUUGCUCGUAUGUCGCAAGGUUAAGGUAUUAAAACCGGAGCCGUAGCGAAAGCAAGUCUGAAUAGGGCGAUUAAGUGACAUGCGGCAGACCCGAAGCCGAGUGAUCUAGCCAUGGCCAGGUUGAAGCGACAGUAACAUGUCGUGGAGGACCGAACCCACCAGGGUUGAAAACCUGGGGGAUGAGCUGUGGCUAGGGGUGAAAGGCCAAUCAAACUCGGCGAUAUCUGGUUCUCCCCGAAAUGCCUUUAGGGGCAGCGUUACGGUAGUAUCUUGGGGGUAGAGCACUGGAUGGACUAGGGGCCCUACAAGGUUACCAAACCCAACCAAACUCCGAAUACCAAGAUUAUGAUCCGUGGCAGUGAGGCCGUGGGGGAUAAGCUUCAUGGCCGAAAGGGAAACAACCCAGACCAACAGCUAAGGUCCCCAAAUCCGGGUUAAGUGACAAAGGAUGUGGGAUUGCAUAAACAGCUAGGAGGUUGGCUUAGAGGCAGCCAUCCUUUAAAGAAAGCGUAACAGCUCACUAGUCAAGGAAUCCUGCGCCGAUAAUCUCCGGGACUGAUAAACCCGGUACCGAAGCUAUGGUCUUUCCGAUUUAUCGGGAAGAGGUAGGGGAGCGUUCCAUUAACCUGUGAAGCCUUUGCCGGAAGGCGGGGUGGAGGAGAUGGAAGUGAGUAUGCUGGCAUAAGUAGCGAUAAACUCGAUGAAAUUUCGAGUCACCGAAAGCCUAAGGUUUCCUGAGUAAAGUUAAUCUGCUCAGGGUUAGUCGGACCCUAAGCCGAGGCCGAAAGGCGUAGGCGAUGGAUAACAGGUGAAUAUUCCUGUACUACCCUGUUGUCGUCUGAGUGAUGGGGGGACGCAGAAGUGAAAGGUCAGCCCGGUUUUGAUUGUCCGGGUUUAAGUAAGUAGGGGGUCCUGGUAGGCAAAUCCGCCGGGACUUAACCCCGAGAUACGAAUAGGAGGGCCUAGCCCAUAAACUGACCCUAAUCAUGCUGCCAAGAAAAUCCUCUAAACAAGAUGACAGGGUAACCGUACCUCAAACCGACACAGGUAGGCGAGAUGAGUAUUCUAAGGUGCUUGGGUGAAUUCCAGUUAAGGAACUCGGCAAAUUGACCCCGUAACUUCGGGAGAAGGGGUGCCUCGAUUAGAUGAAAUCUCCUUCGGGCAGAUGGAGUCGAAAGAGGCCGCAGUGAAAUGGCUCGGGCGACUGUUUACUAAAAACACAGGUCUCUGCUAAGUCGUAAGACGAAAUAUAGGGACUGACACCUGCCCGGUGCCGGAAGGUUAAGGGAAAGUGUUAUCCCGCUUCGGCGGGAGAAGCUCAGAACCGAAGCCCCGGUAAACGGCGGCCGUAACUAUAACGGUCCUAAGGUAGCGAAAUUCCUUGUCGGGUAAGUUCCGACCCGCACGAAUGGUGUAACGACUUGAGCGCUGUCUCUACUGGAAACCCAGCGAAAUUGUAGCGUCGGUGAAGAUACCGGCUACCCGCGGCAGGACGAAAAGACCCCGUGAACCUUUACUACAGCUUGGUAUUGGGUUUUGGAUCUGUAUGUGUAGGAUAGGUGGGAGGCUAUGAAGUUUCAACGCUAGUUGGGAUGGAGCCGUCCUUGAAAUACCGCCCUUAUAUUUCCGGAAUUCUAAUCCCGACCCUUGAAUCAGGGCGAGAA